UUUUGUUCCUGGACUCUUCAGUGAUGAUGAGCAGAGUCUAAGUGAACCUGCUGUCAGACAAUCACUAUUGCACACCAAAUGCUCUUGCUCAGCAGAUGGGGACAGCUACCAUCACCCAAUUUUCACCCAAAAGUGGCUGCGCUAUGCGCCAGACCGGGCAGGAGGGACUGGACGACAACUUAUGCAGGCAUCAGAUGACAAUGAAGUGUAAAUAAAGAGUAAAGAGGCUAAUAAACAUGAAUUUGAUUUUAAA